UACGUAGGGGGCAAGCGUUGUCCGGAUUUAUUGGGCGUAAAGAGCGUGUAGGCGGCUGGGUAGGUCCGUUGUGAAAACUCGAGGCUCAACCUCGAGACGCCGAUGGAAACCCUCCAGCUAGAGUCCGGAAGAGGAGAGUGGAAUUCCUGGUGUAGCGGUGAAAUGCGCAGAUAUCAGGAAGAACACCCGUGGCUAAGGCGGUUCUCUAGUACGGUACUGACGCUGAGACGCGAAAGCGUGGGGAGCGAACAGG
rnacentral:rRNA from 1 species